AUGAGAGCCACAGCAAAACUGAAGGCGCUGGGGAAAAUCCACAGCUGCACCAGUCCAGGCUCUUCUCAAAAGAGAUGCUCAACCAUAGAGAAGUUACCUCCUCUAAGAUUAAAAAACAUAAUGAAAUCCAUGCCCAAACUUGAGGUACCUCAUCAAUUUGUAAUCAGCUCCCUUUUGCAUAGACACAUCCCCCAAGUCUUUAAAAUGUCUAAGAAAAGAUCCCUCCUCUCCUUUCAAGAUUUUUAAUGAUUGAAUUGAGUAACAAGAAGCAGCAAAUGUAUUUGAUGAUGGAAGAAAAUAACAGUCAUGAUUUCUUAUGACAUUUAAGAAAAUAGGAAAAUAGGAUAAAUUCUUUCUAUGUAACUAUUCUAAAGAUUGGGUAUUUGGCCACUUUUUUUUCCACUUAGCCAUUAACAGUUGUGACCUAAAGAGUUCCAGAACACAAGACUGAGCAUUUAAAUGACAAGCUAAGAGAGCUCCUGGUGGCGAGCAUUCACUGUGCACUCCAUCCAAAAUAUUUCAUUUGUGAAAAUGAAGACAAGCAAAUCAAUUAACUUUACAAGAGAAAAGGGAAAACCAAGUCAAUUUUUCUCUUCAGUUUACCUCUUUGAGAACUGAAAGGACUUCACUUCCAAGAAAAUUAUUAAUUUUUACACUGUCAGCAGGAUUUUUUACAAACUGCAUUUUUAUGAUACCAUGCUUAGUGUUGGAAAGAUUUUAUGCUCGAAGGAAAGUCUGAGCUUUUGCAAAGUAGAGGAACAGUAUCAUAUUUAAACCAUUUGAUCUAUUUUUAAAAACACUGUAAGCCUACAGAACAACGUCUUUUAAAGUCUUUUAGAUAGUCUUUUGAGAGACAUCUCGUUAAAUGUUAUAUCCUGCCCUGUCUCCCCUUUGUCUUACCGCCCUCCAUACGCUGCAUGUUCCAAGAGCGUGUGCUGUCCAUGAAGUCAGAUUGCUGGGUGUCACAUGCACAACCCACAUAUCAACAGAGACUCCUCGUGCCCCAGCAUGAAAUUAAUCUGCUGCCUCCCACAUCCUCUUUUGGCAAGAGAAGAGCAGUCAACGUGAUUAAAG
rnacentral:lncRNA from 1 species